ACUAUUAACAUGAGUUAAGUCUAAUAAUAACAUGAGCUAACUGACAUGCAAAAGUAGACUUUCUGAAAGUUAUUAUUUAUGGAAAUCAACUAUAAAAGGAAGAAUAAGUUUCCAUUUUGGGGGAUAGUUAUGCUCUAAAAAUGAAAGUUACUAUUUAUGGAAAUCAACUAUAAAAGGAAUGGUAAGUUUCCAUUUUAAGGGGGAUAGUUAUGCUCUAAAAACGAAAGUUACUAUUUAUAGAAAUCAACUAUAAAAGGAAGGGUAAGUUUCCAUUUUGGGGGGAUAGUUAUGCUCUAAAAAUAAAAGUUACUAUUUAUGGAAAUCAACUAUAAAAGGAAGGGUAAGUUUCUAUUUUGGGGGAAUAGUUAUGCUUUAAAAACAAAAGUUACUAUUUAUGGAAAUCUACUAUAAAAGGAAUGGUAAGUUUCCAUUUCGGGGGAUUCCUUUUCUGAAAAUUCAACACUAAUUGCCACAUGUUACGACCUCAUUCGUCCUAAGUCACUAAUCUGUCAAUAUCAUUAAAGUUUUACUUUUUUUCCACCAUUUCAAAACUUUAAAAAUGCAUAGAAAAUAGCUCCAGUGUCGGAAAAAUUCACCGAAAAAUGUCACGGACAACAGGUGAGACCCACUUCACAACUACGUCUAAAUUUUAGUAAUUUGAAUCACAACGUACCUACUAAUGUGGUAUAACUUGUUUGGUAGGUUAUAUGCUAGUGUACAACUUUGUGAACCAACUAUAUGGAGGAUGCAAAAUUUUCAAAAAUCUUGUGAAAUAGGAUGUGAUCGGUAUAGUAAAAUAUGGCUACGGUAGAAAAAUCACUUUAAUUUACCAAAGUUCUGGCCCCGAUCGAAGCGGUCAACCCUAUUUACGUUUAUGCUUCACUAAGGAGAGCCCUAUCCUCGGGUGGUAAACGUCCCCAAAGUUUUACAUGGGUGGUUAUAUCUCAUCUAUGUGAGACUUUAUUGUGUUGAAGAAUCCACCAAACUAGGUCACAAAGAGGUAGGUAAGAUAGUUUUCGUGUGAUAAGUGAAUAUGAAUUAAGGUUGACCGCUUUGAUCGAGCCCUGAACAUUAUUGAAUCCAGUUGAAUUUUAUACCAUAGCCAUGUUUCACUAUAAUGAUCACAUCAUACGGUCAAUUUUCAUUUUGUGAAUUUUAGUCAUCGAAAUCAUAACAUGCCUACUAAAGUAUUAUAACUUGUUUGAUAGGUUAUAUGCUAGUGUACAACUUUGUGAACCAACUAUAUAGAGGAAGCAAAAUUUUUAAAAAUCUCGUGAAAUAUGAUGUGAUCGAUAUAGUAAAAUACGGCUACGGUAAGAAAAUCACUUUAAUUCGCCAAUGUUUGGGCCCCGAUCGAAGCUGUCAACUCUAUUUACACUUAUGCUUCAAUAAGGAGAGCCCUAUCCUCGGCUGGUAAACAUCCCCAAAGUUUUACAUGGGUGGUUAUGUCUCAUCUAUGUGACACUUUAUUGUGUUGAAGAAUCCACCAAACUAGGUCACGAAGAGGUAGGUAAGAUAGUUUUCGUGUGAUAAGUGAAGAUGAAUUAAGGUUGAUCGCUUUGAUCGAGCGCCGAACAUUGUUGAAUCCAGUUGAAUUUUAUACCAUAGCCAUGUUUCACUAUAAUGAUCACAUCAGACGGUCAAUUUUCAUUUUGUGAAUAUUCAUUGAUUGAAUCUCAAGAACAAUUUAGAUUUCCAGAAAGUCUAUUUUUCUUUAAUUUCUAUUAUGUUAAUGGUAGCCAUUUCUUAUGAAAAAAGUGGUUGUGUCUUAUGUUAAAUGUAGACUUUUCAUCUUUUACCUUGGUUUUUCUUCAAUCUCAAGAACAAUUUAGAUUUCCAGAAAGUCUACUUUUCUUUUAUUUCUCUUAUGUUAAUGGUAGACAUUUCUUAUGAAAAUAGUAGAGGUGUCUUAUGUUAAAUGUAGACCUUACAUCUUUUACCUUGGGUUGCUUCAAUCUCAAGAACAAUUUAGAUUUACAGAAAGUCUACUUUUCUUUGAUUUCUCUUAUGUUAAUGGUAGACAUUUCUUAUGAAAAAAGUAGUUGUGUCUUAUGUUAAAUGU
rnacentral:lncRNA from 1 species